rnacentral:rRNA from 1 species
CCUACGGGAGGCAGCAGUGGGGAAUAUUGCACAAUGGGGGAAACCCUGAUGCAGCGACGUCGCGUGAGUGAUGAAGUAUUUCGGUAUGUAAAGCUCUAUCAGCAGGGAAGAAAAUGACGGUACCUGACUAAGAAGCCCCGGCUAACUACGUGCCAGCAGCCGCGGUAAUACGUAGGGGGCAAGCGUUAUCCGGAUUUACUGGGUGUAAAGGGAGGGUAGACGGGGGUGCAAGCCAGAUGUGAAAGCCGGGGGCUUAACCCCGGGACUGCAUUUGGAACUGUGCGGCUAGAGUGUCGGAGAGGCAGGCGGAAUUCCUAGUGUAGCGGUGAAAUGCGUAGAUAUUGGGAGGAACACCAGUGGCGAAGGCGGCCAGCUGGACGAUGACUGACGCUGAGGCGCGAAAGCGUGGGGAGCAAACAGGAUUAGAUACCCGUGUAGUC